GUGCGCGAUAAUGAUGAUACUGAAGAUGAUAGUGAUGCUGCUGAACCUAUCGAACAUGGUGGUAUAAGAGAACUAUUGGAUGAUUUACAUCAGGGAGUUUGUUCAAAUGUAUGCAUGAGUACUAGUGCAUCUGAAGGUAAUUUUAAUCAUGAACAUAAUAUCCGGCUUGAGGUAGAAGGGACUUCUGAACAGUUUGCAAAGCUUGUAAGGGAUGCAUGAGAG
rnacentral:lncRNA from 1 species